rnacentral:misc_RNA from 1 species
AAGUCGUAACAAGGUUUCCGUAGGUGAACCUGCGGAAGGAUCAUUAUGAGUGUUUGAGGGAUAUGUUAGAUUGUGAAGAGGUGUGCGUGUGCAGGGGGAGAAUGAAUGGAUUGAUUACCGGGGGGGUAGUUGAUUGACAUUUUACCCGGGGGCACACACACAAAAUAACAAGAACGAUAGUAGUAGUAGUAGUAAUUUAGUGCUUUAACAGAGAGAGAGCACAACAACAAAAACAAAAAUACAACUUUUAACAAUGGAUCUCUAGGCUCUU